GACGAACGCUGGCGGCGUGCUUAACACAUGCAAGUCGAACGGAAAGGCCCUGCUUGCAGGGUACUCGAGUGGCGAACGGGUGAGUAACACGUGGGUAAUCUGCCCUGCACUUCGGGAUAAGCCUGGGAAACUGGGUCUAAUACCGAAUAGGAGCCAUUUUUAGUGUGAUGGUUGGAAAGUUUUUUCGGUGUAGGAUGAGCUCGCGGCCUAUCAGCUUGUUGGUGGGGUAAUGGCCUACCAAGGCGGCGACGGGUAGCCGGCCUGAGAGGGUGGACGGCGACAUUGGGACUGAGAUACGGCCCAGACUCCUACGGGAGGCAGAAGUGGGGAAUAUUGCACAAUGGGCGCAAGCCUGAUGCAGCGACGCCGCGUGGGGGAUGACGGCCUUCGGGUUGUAAACUCCUUUCGCUAGGGACGAAGCUUUUUGUGACGGUACCUAGAGAAGAAGCACCGGCUAACUACGUG
rnacentral:rRNA from 1 species